UACGGAGGGUGCGAGCGUUUGUCCGGAAUCACUGGGCGUAAAGGGCGCGUAGGCGGCGCCCCAAGUCGGUGGUGAAAGCCCGGUGGCUCAACUGCGGGUCGGCCACCGAUACUGGGGGGGCUGGAGCACGGUAGAGGCAGGUGGAAUUCCGGGUGUAGCGGUGGAAUGCGUAGAGAUCCGGAAGAACACCGGUGGCGAAGGCGGCCUGCUGGGCCGGGUAGCCGCAAGGCUUUUAGCUGACGCUGAGGCGCGACAGCGGUGGGGGAGCAAACAGG
rnacentral:rRNA from 1 species